UACGUAGGGGGCAAGCGUUGUCCGGAUUUAUUGGGCGUAAAGAGCGUGUAGGCGCCAGACAGGUCCGUUGUGAAAACUCGAGGCUCAACCUCGGGACGCCGAUGGAAACCGUCUGGCUAGAGUCCGGAAGAGGAGAGUGGAAUUCCUGGUGUAGCGGUGAAAUGCGCAGAUAUCAGGAAGAACACCCGUGGCUAAGGCGGCUCUCUAGUACGGUACUGACGCUGAGACGCGAAAGCGUGGGGAGCGAACAGG
rnacentral:rRNA from 1 species